GAUGAACGCUGGCGGCGUGCCUAAUACAUGCAAGUCGAACGAGGUGCUUUUGUAGCAAUACGAGAGUAUCCUAGUGGCGAACGGGUGAGUAACGCGUUGGUGACCUACCCCAAAGUGUGGGAUAACAGUCCGAAAGGAUUGCUAAUACCGCAUGUGGUCUUCGGAUUUAGAAACUGAUGACUAAAGGAGCAAUUCGCUUUGGGAGGGACCUGCGUCCCAUCAGCUAGUUGGUGAGGUAACGGCUCACCAAGGCGACGACGGGUAGGGGACCUGAGAGGGUGGCCCCCCACAAUGGAACUGAAACACGGUCCAUACACCUACGGGUGGCAGCAGUAGGGAAUAUUGCACAAUGGGCGAAAGCCUGAUGCAGCAACGCCGCGUGUGCGAUGAAGGCCUUCGGGUCGUAAAGCACUUUUCUGAGGGAUGAGAAAGGACAGUACCUCAGGAAUAAGUCUCGGCUAACUACGUGCCAGCCGCCGCGGUAAGAC
rnacentral:rRNA from 1 species